CCCCACGCUAAGGUUCAAAAUAUGCCUUUUGAAUUACCCCAGGGUGUAUUCUUUAAUAAAUAGUAUGUGUUUGUGGGGAAGUUUCAAUAACCAACCAUCUAAACUACUCCAAAAUGGAACAUGGACACAGCGUAAAACUUCAAAGUUAGAAAAAAACUGAAUGGCUGCGUCUCACAUGUGCCCCUUCAACAUCCACAUAUACCUGGAAAAUGUACAUACGGGGGUAUUGCUGUACUCAGCCGACAUAGCUGAGCAACAUAUGAAGUAUUAUACAGUCGUAGCACACAUACAAUUUGCAAAAUAUACUGUGCAAACUCACUUUGUGUGUCAAAAAGGC